rnacentral:rRNA from 1 species
UACGGAGGGGGCAAGCGUUAUUCGGAAUUAUUGGGCGUAAAGGGCGCGUAGGCGGCUAGAUGUGUCAAAGGUGAAAUCCCUCGGCUCAACUGAGGAACUGCCUUUGAAACUGUCUGGCUUGAGGCCGGGAGAGGGUAGCGGAAUUCCCAGUGUAGCGGUGAAAUGCGUAGAUAUCGGGAGGAACACCGGUGGCGAAGGCGGCGACCUGGGUAGAUACUGACGCUGAGGCGCGAAAGCGUGGGGAGCAAACAGG